GCACCACUGCACUCCAGCCUGGGCAACAGAGUGAGACUCCAUCUCAAAAAAAAAAGAAAAAAGAAAAAAGAAAUCGGAGUGACGUAUUUCGAAGAUGGGGGAAGAGCCACCAACUAAGGAAUGCCAGUGCGCCCAGUAGGCAGUGAGAAAGGCAGGGAAGCGACUCUAUCUCAGCAUCUCCAGAAGGAACCAACACCUUGUCUUCAGCGCAGUGAAGCUGAGUUUAGGCUUUGAGCUCUAAACGAGUUGGACAGGUUGGAUUAUUUGAAAACAGCCUGGGUUGUGAGAGGAAAAUGAGCAGGCCAGAGGAAUUUGGAGCUGCCAGCAUCUUGGAGGCUGGAGAGCAGGGUGCAAUCACAGCUCACUGCAGCCU
rnacentral:lncRNA from 1 species